UGUGGGAAAAACAAAAGGGCAGCAGAGCGAUGUCGGGGCACCGAGGGCCCCUCACGGGUGUGGGUGAGAGCCCGGCCCACAGCGCGGGGCUCAGGCACCCGCAGCACUUGUUUUCUUGGCAAAAAGACUUUUUGCAAGUGGCUCUCUCAACGCUGUUUUGCUCAGUCUUAAUAAUUAAAAGUUUAAGAGAGACGUUAGGGAAUACCCAUUAUUUAAGAUGGUGAAUUGAAGGAGGUUAUACUGAAAGUACAUCUAAAACCUUCCAGAGCCCAGUCCUGACACUUCUGUGCCUCCACGGGAUCCUCGUUGGGUGGGCAGGAGCUGCUAGUGUGAGUCUCUAGGUGAUCUGGGAAAAGGUGUCUGCCGUCCUGCCUCUCUCAGGUGUUAGGGUAGAUUGCAAAUCCAUGUUUGAUCUAUCUGUGUGUGAUCUGUGUGUACAAAAGUAUCAACUGGCUGGUGGCUCUUCUGAAAGCAACUCACUCUCUGGAAUUAAAUUCAGAUAGAAAUGAUAGUGCAAGAUGGGUUGCCCUGGAAAUCAAACAAAGUGCUUGGCGUUGGCAGGUCCUUCUCACUGUGUCAGAGCUGCUUACACCGAGUAUCAAAUCAGGUCAGGCUCUUCUUUAGCAGCGGCUCCGGUUUGCAGCUUUGCAGGAAAAUUUGCAGGUAUCUUUUAAAAGAACAGACAAUGUGCAUUUGGAUGUUGAUUUGAAUCAUUCAAGGUGCUCAUCUUAAAAGUAACAGACUCCAAGUGAGAAAGCUGCAGUGCCGUGUCAGUGUACAGCAGAGCCUUGGACCAUUUCAUACCACUCUCCUCGAACUCUUUUCAAAGAAUUUGAUCAGAAUCAGUAGCAAAUCAUGCUCAACAGAUAAGUACCUGUGACCUAUUGUUAGAAAUCAGUGUCCUGGUUCUUUAAGUGUUUUGCACAUACCAGCUGAUAUUCCCUUGCAGCACAGUGGUAAAGUAUGUAAGGAUCUACAGCAUUACUUUGAUUUGAUAGAGAGGGAUUGAUGAGAGAGGUUAAGAAUCAAAUCAGUCAACCCUUCUUAUUCAACAAAACCCCUAAGUAGCCUGAGGAAUCCUUUGGAGUGAGCUGGGGAUCAACUUUAUUUAAUAUUGGUAUAUAUCACCGCUCUUUCUCUAAAGAAUUGAUCUCUCUGUCUCUUCUGUAUUUAAAAGUCAAUACAUCUAUCACAUAGCUGUGCUGGCAAGUUGGCAGAGACUCUUUUCAUAGACUAGACUAGUUCCUAGCAAGAGUUGCCUAACUUAAAAGAAAAGGUAACCCCAGCAGUAAUCUCCAUGCUAAAAACUGAACAGUAGAUCUUACAUUAAACCUGCUAAGAAGUUUUAUCCUAACCAUAGCUGCUUUGGGUGUUGGAAGAUGGUUGAUAAAGACUUCCUUGUUAAAAUAGUAUAAUGAAAGAAUUUUGUUCAAACUUGCAUGAUUCAAACAUUUCUAGGUUUGCUUUUAAAGAUGUUUGAGAAAGUUGGAUGAAAUGCCAGCCAAGCAGUAAGUGAUACAGCCCUCCCUUCCCGCAGCAGCCAGGAGAUGGGCAGAAGGUGCGGUGUGAGGACGCACAGUCCCUCAGCAUCUCCUGCUGCAGCGUUUCUUUCUGUGAGCAGAAACGUUACCGCCAGAGUCUGCCUUCUGUUCCAGUUUUGCAAUGUUACAAAUUUGUGAAUCUAAUCUGAAUAUAUCCCCCAGUGUAACUGCAUGAAGAAUUUUGACUCAAAUGUAAGGGAGCAAGGCACAUACAAGCUUUCUAGAACUUAAAGGAAUAGUAUGUAGAGACUCUAUAUGUAUAGGACCUUUCUAUCUGAAGUUAAUGUGCUGCAGUGUGACUCAUGCAGUUGGUGAAUGGCUUUGACAUCUGCAGUUUGGCCUGGCAUGAAUAAAGUCAAGCCAGGGAUCCACUAGCUCUUAAAAUCAGUGCCUGCUCCACUGUGCUUUAUUUCACAACUGGUUUUUUUGAGCCCGUCCUACUGAUGUUUUCAGCCACCUUGAGACGUCCCUUCUCUUUUCCAGCACUAACCUGAGAAGCAGUGAAAAAGGGAAGUCAUUUGGAUGUUAAAAUGACUUCCCUCUCCCUUAAGAUGUUUGUGGCUGGGGUAUUUAAACUGUGGCAUGGGGACAGCAAGGAGUAAGCAGCUCAGCAACUGCAGGAGGGAAGAAAAGUGCAUGGCACAACUGCAACACAGAUGAAAAGGAUUUAUUUUGUAAGCUCAGCUCACUUGGGCCCUGAAGGAGUCAAUGAAUCCCACAUCUGCUGUGAGGUUUGGCAGGAACCAGAAGUGAUCCCUUCCUCCAGUAAUGAGCCAGAUGAUAAGGAAAAGGAUACAGCGAGCUGUAUGAAAAAAAGAAAAGAGAUUUUUUUUUUUUUAACGAUAAACAUCCACAUUGUACAACUAUGGUUUAACAGGUAUCCACUGCUACCACCCACCCAAAGCCAGGGACAGGGGUGACCUUGGGGCAAAAUCUCUCAUUCUGCAGCAGCAUAAUGGAAUAGUUUGUUCUCACCACAUCUCCCCCACCGGAUUAACCAUGUAUCUUAUCUAUGAUUUAGCUCUGCUAAAGAAAUACAAGCCAAAGAAAGCUUUAAAAUCCUAGUUACACCAUUCUCACUACUGAAUCUGUACAUAUAUACAGUUGCUGGGUUUUGGGUUUUGUGGGGUUUUUUUGUUUGUUUUUAAUGGAAGCUGUAGACAAAUCUCCACUAUGCAUUAAACACAGGUGACACAA